UACGUAGGGUGCGAGCGUUGUCCGGAAUUAUUGGGCGUAAAGAGCUUGUAGGUGGUUUGUCGCGUCUGCUGUGAAAAUCCGAGGCUCAACCUCGGACUUGCAGUGGGUACGGGCAGACUAGAGUGUGGUAGGGGAGACUGGAAUUCCUGGUGUAGCGGUGGAAUGCGCAGAUAUCAGGAGGAACACCGAUGGCGAAGGCAGGUCUCUGGGCCACUACUGACGCUGAGAAGCGAAAGCGUGGGGAGCGAACAGG
rnacentral:rRNA from 1 species